rnacentral:lncRNA from 1 species
GUUAAAUCUGACUGAGAGAGGCAUGUUCUUCUUGGGUUUGGCCACCAUAGAAAUUUUACCUGAAUUGCAGACAUACAGAAUUCACUGGCCAAACAAUUUGAAGAAAAUUGGAAUAUAAGAGUUCAUUCUGGUGAUUCCCACUUUCUAGCUACUUCAGUUCUGAUAAAUGGAAGACCAUCGUAUAAGUGGAGGACUCAUGUUACAGUGUGCCCAGGGAAGGCAACAAAUUCUACUUUCUAGUCUCCAGAAAGACAUAUGUUAGCAGAGACAUAUUUGGACCCAACCUAUAUACUUUUUCUCUAUAAAGCAUUCAAAGAACAAUGUGACGAUUACAGUUGUGUGGGAUUUCACCCUUCCUUAACUAUAAAAAGAAGACUUCUUGGGCCAGGCCGGUGGCUCACGCCUGUAGUCCCAGCACUUUGGGAAGCCGAGGCGGAUGGAUCACGAGGUCAGGAGAUCGAGACCAGACUGGCCAACAUGGUGAAACCCCGUCUCUAACAAAAAUAGAAAAAUCAGCUGGGCAUGGUGGUGCAUGCCUGUAGUCCCAGCUACUUGGGAAGCUGAGGCAGGAGAAUUGCUUGAACCUGGGAGGUGGAGGUUGCAGUAAACCGAGAUCGUGCCACUGCACUCCAGCCUGGUGACAGAGCAAGAGUCCGUCUGAAAAAAAAAAAAGACUUCUUAAUAAAAAACAGGCAUACCUCAUUUUACUGCACUUCACUUUUUUUGUGCUUCACAGAUAUUGCUUUUUUUUUUUUUUUUUUUUUUUUUUACAAAUGGAAGGUUUGUGUGGUAACCCUUCAUUCAGCAAGUCCAUUGGUGCCAUUUAUCCAAGAGCAUGUGCUCACCUUGCGUCUCUAUGUUACAUUUUGGUAAUUCUUACAAUAUUUAAAAAUUUUCACUAUGAUUAUAUCUGUGAUGGUGGUCUGUGAUCAGUGAUCUUUGAUGUUCCUAUUGUAAUUGUUUUAGGGCACCACCAACUGCAUUCAUAUAGGACGGUGCACUUAAUUGGUAAAUACUGUGUGUAUUCUAACUGCUCCACCAAUCAGGUGUUGCCUCAUCUUUCUCCUGCUCCUUGGACUCUCAAUUCCCUCAGACACAACAGUGUUGAAAUUAGACCAAUUAAUAUCCCUACAAUGGCCUCUAAGUGUUGAAGUGAAAGAAAGAGUUUCAUGUUUCUCACUUUAAAUAAAAAGCUAGAUAUGAUUAAGCUUAGUGAGUGUAUUAGUCUGUUCUCAUGUUGCUAAUAGAGACAUACCUGAGACUGGGUAAUUUAUAAAGAAAAGAGGUUUAAUGGACUCACCACUCCACAU